UACAGAGACUGCAAGCGUUAUUCGGAUUCACUGGGCGUAAAGGGUGCGCAGGCGGUCGGGUGUGUCAGAUGUGAAAUCCCGAGGCUCAACCUCGGAACUGCGUCUGAAACUACUCGACUAGAGUACUGGAGAGGGUAACGGAAUUCACGGUGUAGCAGUGAAAUGCGUAGAUAUCGUGAGGAACACCAGAGGCGAAGGCGGCUCACUGGACCACAACUGACGCUGAGGCGCGAAAGCUAGGGGAGCAAACAGG
rnacentral:rRNA from 1 species